rnacentral:lncRNA from 9 species
GAAAUAGUCAUGACGUGUUUCCUGUUAGGGACGAAGGUCAAAUUCCAAACGUUCACACGACUGUUCACAGUUCUGGAAGCGAGAAUUCCAAGAGCCUUGUGUUGGCGAGGAAUGGGGCUCAUCAAAAUCCCCUUCUCCUCUUGCCCUGCCUGGAGAAAAGGCCCUGAAGACCCUUCCCCCGAGGACUGGGCUGCCUCAGGGGUAGAAGGUGUGGCGUGGAUGCUCCGAGCAGACACUUGGUCCCAAGGCCCAGCCAGGCAGCGGGAAAGGGUCCCUUCCAGAGGGUGUCAGCGAAUGGAGUGGAUCCAGUGGAGCAACGGAGGUUCCCAGAAGUACAGCACUCUGGACCCCGAUGGCCACCUUUAUUCACACAAAGAAAGGGUUUUUCCAUUUGGAGGUCAACAUGUUGAAGCACCUGCUGGAGUUCCAUUGUGGCUCAGUGGGAAUGAAUCUGACUAGUAUCCAUGAGGAUGCAGGUUCAAUUCCUGGCCUUUCUCAGUGGGUUAAGGAUCUGAUAUUGCCGUGAUCUGUGGUGUAGGUUGAAGACGUGGCUCCAUCUGGUGUGGCUGUGGCAUAGGCUGGCAGCUACGGUUCCGACUCGCCCCCUCUAGCCUGGGAACCACCAUAUGCGGCAGGUGCAGCCCUAAAAAGACAAAACAAAAUAAAACAAAACAAAAAAACAAAAAGCACCUGGUUUUCCUUGGGGAAUCACUCGUUCCUCACUCUGAGUGCAUGUGGUUUGAGUGGCUGAAGGCACCACACCCCCUCCUCUCUGCUUCAUGGGCCACCAUGUAACCCAAACUUGAUGGGCUAUAUUAUCUAUGUCCUAGUCACUGAGAUGAUGCAGUAACCAGGUGGCUGGGUUAGACCCAGUGCGGGGAUGUUGAUUGGAGCACUUGUGAAGAAAAGCCCGAUUUCCCCCAGGGGGUGCAGUAACAUAAGCCUGAAAUGACUGAGGGCUUUUGCACCCCUGCGUGUGAGGAGCCUGUUUAAAUGAAAUCGCACGGAGGAAGCAGAAUCAAGGGACGAAGAUGAAGAGAGACCAAGACCUGAUGUCAGCAGUGGAGCCCCUGAAAAUACCCUUCUGGACUUCUGGUCAUGUGUACUAAUACCUGAAGCUUUUUUUGUUUGGGAGGUUUUGGGUUUUUUGGUUUUUUUUUUUUUUUUUUUUUUCAUUUUAGAGCCACACGUGUGGCAUAUGGAUGUUCCCAGGCUAGGGAUCGAAUCAGAGCUAAAGCUGACGGCCUACACCACAGCCACAGCAACUCAGGAUCCAAGCAGUGUCUGCAACCUACAUGACAGCUCAUGGCAAUUCCAGAUCCUUAACCCACCGAGCGAGGCCAGGGAUAGAACCCAUGUCCUCAUGGAUACUGGUCAGUUUUCGUUUCCACUGAGCCAUGAUGGGAACUCCUGAGCCUUUUUUUUGUUUGUUUGUUUUUUUUGUUUUAAUGUCGAUUCAAGUUGUGUUCAUUGAGGAAAUGAAUGGAUAAAUGAAUGAACCUGGCCACACAACGACAAAAACCAAGAGUACUGGCUCUAAUCUCAAUCAGUUUCUAUGCCAUGACCUUGUAGGACAUUCAGCUACUGAAGCACACACAGUGUGCCGUUCCCAUGUCGUGGCUGUCACUGUCAGUUGCCCACCCAUUUGCUGCCCUCCUUCCCACCCCCAUGUUCCUUGUUCACAGGGCAGCCAGGUUUGAGCCUGCAGGAAUAGCUCAUAAUUGAUUGCCAGGAUGUCUGAGCUGACUGCUCAUCACAAGACUUUGAGGAUCUCUGAGGCCCACUCAUUAAAUGACAGAGCCAUUGUUUUUAACGAAAAAUGCCC